GCUCCAUUUGGCCUAGUGGUAGGAGCGUCCGCCUCGGAAGCGAUAGGUCGUGGGUUCGAUCUCUAGCCAAGUAAUA